rnacentral:sRNA from 1 species
CCCUAGCCCAGACAGAAGCGGCAUCCUUUUGGGGCGGGGUUCGCCCCAAAAGAUAUAGCGGAUGGCUGGAAACAGC